UACGUAGGGGGCAAGCGUUGUCCGGAAUCAUUGGGCGUAAAGAGCGUGUAGGCGGUUCGGUAAGUCGGCUGUGAAAGUCCAGGGCUCAACCCUGGGAUGCCGGUCGAUACUGCCGGACUAGAGUUCGGAAGAGGCGAGUGGAAUUCCCGGUGUAGCAGUGAAAUGCGUAGAGAUCGGGAGGAACACCAGUGGCGAAGGCGACUAUCUGGACCAGCACUGACACUGAGGCACGAAAGCGUGGGGAGCAAACAGG
rnacentral:rRNA from 1 species